rnacentral:rRNA from 1 species
AGUGAGCGCUGGCGGUAGGCCUAACACAUGCAAGUCGAACGGCAGCACAGUAAGAGCUUGCUCUUACGGGUGGCGAGUGGCGGACGGGGGAGGAAUACAUCGGAAUCUACUUUUUCGUGGGGGAUAACGUAGGGAAACUUACGCUAAUACCGCAUACGACCUACGGGUGAAAGCAGGGGAUCUUCGGACCUUGCGCGAUUGAUUGAGCCGAUGUCGGAUUAGCUAGUUGGCGGGGUAAAGGCCCACCAAGGCGACGAUCCGUAGCUGGUCUGAGAGGAUGAUCAGCCACACUGGAACUGAGACACGGUCCAGACUCCUACGGGAGGCAGCAGCGGGGAAUAUUGGACAAUGGGCGCAAGCCUGAUCCAGCCAUACCGCGUGGGUGAAGAAGGCCUUCGGGUUGUAAAGCCCUUUUGUUGGGAAAGAAAAGCAGCAGGUUAAUACCCCGCUGUUCUGACGGUACCCAAAGAAUAAGCACCGGCUAACUUCGUG